UGGUGGUUCACUCCAACAAAAGGAGCAAAUGGCAUAUCGUACUUAUUAGUGAGGUAUGUGGUGUCAAAUGUGAUAACAUCACCAAACUCCUUAAAUGCUUGCCUACUCCUAUAGUCUGCCCAAAAAACAUUCUUUAGACGUAAAUCGUCAUCCAGAUCUAUACUAAAGUAAAAGCCCGAACACUGUGCCUGCAUUUUACAGAAGUAUGAUUGUAGUGCUGAUGCGUCCCCUUUUCCAAAUCUUAAACGCCUAACUUUUUCAACAUAGUUACGACAGUCCUUCUCGAUGCAACUCAAAUUCUCAUACCCACCCGCUUCAACAACUGCAGAGUUGAAACUCUUGUGUAAUGGAAUUACUGCCAUGUCAUUCACUUCGAGUCUUCGUUUAACAUGUGCACUCAACUCUCGGUUGCAUCGAUAUAGCCUAGACUUCGAAGGGCUUGUCUUAUGAUUAUGGUCUAGAUGUACCUUGUUAAUCCUCCAUAUUCCACAAAGAUCUUUGGAUGCGCAAAUCCUGGCUUUACAUCCACUCUGCAUGGUUGCUUGCGGUUUCAAACUACCGCUUCUAUUUUGUAUUCUUUUCCCUUCACGGCUACAAACAAAUAUAAUAUUUCGCAAUACUCCGUCCUCAUCCUUUACCGAAUUUCUUUUCCUAACCGGGAAACCAAUUUCGUAUGCAUAUUUUUUGUACAAAUCGAAUAUUUCAUUUUCAUCGUUAA
rnacentral:lncRNA from 1 species